rnacentral:ribozyme from 1 species
CAUCAUGCACUUGAGGCCAUAGCAGAAGUGCUCAUGGUGCAGUCCUGUCAGAUUCCAAUGAAUCUGUGAAUUCUACU